rnacentral:misc_RNA from 1 species
AAAGUCGUAACAAGGUUUCCGUAGGUGAACCUGCGGAAGGAUCAUUAGCGAACUUUUAGGCUGAAAAGCCUCUGUUCCACACUUAUGUUUUAAGCUGGAGGUGGAAACACCCGAGGCGAACACAUUAUUCUCUGAAUAAAUCAAAACUUUCAACAACGGAUCUCUUGGUUCUG